GAUAAGAACGUAGCGAAAUGCGAUAAGUAAUGUGAAUUGCAGAAUUCAGUGAAUCAUCGAAUCUUUGAACGCACAUUGCGCCCUCUGGUAUUCCGGGGGGCAUGCCUGUUCGAGCGUCAUUACAACCCUCAAGCUUUGCUUGGUAUUGGACAUUGCCAGUUUCUGGCAGGUCUUAAAAUCAGUGGCGGUGCCAUUUGGCUUCAAGCGUAGUAAUUCUUCUCGCUUUGGAGAUCCAAGUGGUUACUUGCCAAUAACCCCCAAUUUUUUCAGGUUGACCUCGGAUCAGGUAGGGAUACCCGCUGAACUUAAGCAUAUCAAUAAGCGGAGGA
rnacentral:misc_RNA from 1 species